AGUAGAGUUUCGAUCCUACGCGUCAGAGAACGCUGCGGCGUGCUUAACACACUGCAAGUCGAACGGAAGGACCCCUGCUUGCAGGGGUACGUCGAGUGGCGAACGGGUGAGUAACACGUGGGUGAUCUGCCCUUCACUUCGGGAUAAGCCUGGGAAACUGGGUCUAAUACCGGAUAGGACCAAUCUUUAGUGUGGUUGGUGGAAAGUUUUUUCGGUGGAGGAUGAGCCCGCGGCCUAUCAGCUUGUUGUGGGGUAAUGGCCUACCAAGGCGACGACGGGUAGCCGGCCUGAGAGGGUGGACGGCCACAUUGGGACUGAGACACGGCCCAGACUCCUACGAGAGGCAGCAGUGGGGAAUAUUGCACAAUGGGCGGAAGCCUGAUGCAGCGACGCCGCGUGAGGGAUGACGGCCUUCGGGUUGUAAACCUCUUUCGCUAGGGAAGAAGCCUUCGGGUGACGGUACCUGGAUAAGAAGCACCGGCUAACUACGUG
rnacentral:rRNA from 1 species